AAAGCCCCUCCCCUAACAGCUGGUUCCACUUCCUGGGCAGUUACGCCAUCAGGCUACGGUUGGGCCAGGUACCAGACGUUCCUCUUGGGAAGACAGGUGUGAUAUCAGGGGACAGGGUGUGACUGGAGGCCUGAACAGAUGUGUCUGCUGUGCCAGGGGAUGGUUUCCCCUGAAGACCCUCUCUGCUAACACACGAGCCUUCCUCCAGCAGUGGGCCCCAGGACACUGUCUGGACCUUGGCUGCCCUCCUGGCUCUUCGGGUGGCUGUCCUGGGAGAAGGCUGAUGUCUGCAGGCUCCAGACACUGCCCGUGCUGCAGGCCUUACAGAUGCCCAGGAACCUCAGCCCUGAGCCAUGUCUCUGUGGAAUGUUCCCCCUUCCCAAUUCUGUCUCCUGUUUUGUCAUUAAAA